rnacentral:rRNA from 1 species
GAUGAACGCUGGCGGCGUGCCUAAUACAUGCAAGUCGAGCGAACAGAUGAGGAGCUUGCUCCUCUGACGUUAGCGGCGGACGGGUGAGUAACACGUGGAUAACCUACCUAUAAGACUGGGAUAACUUCGGGAAACCGGAGCUAAUACCGGAUAAUAUAUUGAACCGCAUGGUUCAAUAGUGAAAGACGGUUUUGCUGUCACUUAUAGAUGGAUCCGCGCCGCAUUAGCUAGUUGGUAAGGUAACGGCUUACCAAGGCAACGAUGCGUAGCCGACCUGAGAGGGUGAUCGGCCACACUGGAACGGAGACACGGUCCAGACUCCUACGGGAGGCAGCAGUAGGGAAUCUGCCGCAAUGGGCGAAAGCCUGACGGAGCAACGCCGCGUGAGUGAUGAAGGUCUUCGGAUCGUAAAACUCUGUUAUUAGGGAAGAACAAAUGUGUAAGUAACUAUGCACGUCUUGACGGUACCUAAUCAAAAAGCCACGGCUAACUACGUG